rnacentral:rRNA from 1 species
GAUGAACGCUGGCGGCGUGCCUAACACAUGCAAGUCGAACGAUGAAACCGCCCUCGGGCGGACAUGAAGUGGCGAACGGGUGAGUAACACGUGACCAACCUGCCCCUUGCUCCGGGACAACCUUGGGAAACCGAGGCUAAUACCGGAUACUCCUCGCCCCCCUCCUGGGGGGCCCGGGAAAGCCCAGACGGCAAGGGAUGGGGUCGCGGCCCAUUAGGUAGUAGGCGGGGUAACGGCCCACCUAGCCCGCGAUGGGUAGCCGGGUUGAGAGACCGACCGGCCACAUUGGGACUGAGAUACGGCCCAGACUCCUACGGGAGGCAGCAGUGGGGAAUUUUGCGCAAUGGGGGCAACCCUGACGCAGCAACGCCGCGUGCGGGAUGACGGCCUUCGGGUUGUAAACCGCUUUCAGCAGGGAAGAAAUUCGACGGUAC